CCUACGGGAGGCAGCAGUGAGGAAUAUUGGUCAAUGGACGAGAGUCUGAACCAGCCAAGUAGCGUGAAGGAUGACUGCCCUCUGGGUUGUAAACUUCUUUUAUAUGGGAAUAAAAUGUUCCACGUGUGGGAUUUUGUAUGUACCAUAUGAAUAAGGAUCGGCUAAGUCCGUGCCAGCAGCCGCGGUAAUACGGAGGGUCCGAGCGUUAUCCGGAUUUAUUGGGUUUAACGGGAGCGUAGGUGGAUUGUUAAGUCAGUUGUGAAAGUUUGCGGCUAAACCGUAAAAUUGCAGUUGAAACUGGCAGUCUUGAGUACAGUAGAGGUGGGCGGAAUUCGUGGUGUAGCGGUGAAAUGCUUAGAUAUUACGAAGAACUCCGAUUGCGAAGGCAGCUCACUGGACAGCAACUGACAUUGAGGCUCGAAAGUGUGGGGAUCAAACAGGAUUAGAUACCCUGGUAGUC
rnacentral:rRNA from 1 species